GAUGAACGCUGGCGGCGUGCCUAAUACAUGCAAGUCGAGCGAACUUUUGGGAGCUUGCUCCCAAAAGUUAGCGGCGGACGGGUGAGUAACACGUGGGUAACCUGUCUGUAAGACUGGGAUAACUUCGGGAAACCGGAGCUAAUACCGGAUAACAUUGAAGACCACAUGGUCUUCAAUUAAAAGGUGGCCUUUAGCUACCACUUACAGAUGGACCCGCGGCGCAUUAGCUAGUUGGUGAGGUAACGGCUCACCAAGGCGACGAUGCGUAGCCGACCUGAGAGGGGGAGCGGCCACACUGGGACUGAGACACGGCCCAGACUCCUGCGGGAGGCAGCAGUAGGGAAUCUUCCGCAAUGGACGAAGGUCUGACGGAGCAACGCCGCGUGAGCGAAGAAGGCCGUCAGGUCGUAAAGCUCUGUUGUUAGGGAAGAACAAGUAUCGUUCGAAUAGGGCAGUACCUUGACGGUACCUAACCAGAAAGCCACGGCUAACUACGUG
rnacentral:rRNA from 1 species